rnacentral:misc_RNA from 1 species
UUUCCGUAGGUGAACCUGCGGAAGGAUCAUUAUUGUAUAACCGAGGUGCGAGGGCUGUCGCUGACCCGAAAGGUCGUGCACGCCCGAGUGCCCUCACACACAUCCAUCUCACCCCUAUGUGCACCACCGCGUGGGUUCCCCUUUGGCUUGUUCGGAGGGGGGCUUACGUUUUCACACAAACUUUGUAUGCAGUGUAGAAUGUAUUUUUUGUUUAUGCGAUCACGCAAUCAAUACAACUUUCAACAACGGAUCUCUUGGCUCUC